rnacentral:rRNA from 1 species
UCCCAAACCCCUUGAACAUACCACUUGUUGCCUCGGCGGAUCAGCCCGCUCCCGGUAAAACGGGACGGCCCGCCAGAGGACCCCUAAACUCUGUUUCUAUAUGUAACUUCUGAGUAAAACCAUAAAUAAAUCAAAACUUUCAACAACGGAUCUCUUGGUUCUGGCAUCGAUGAAGAACGCAGCAAAAUGCGAUAAGUAAUGUGAAUUGCAGAAUUCAGUGAAUCAUCGAAUCUUUGAACGCACAUUGCGCCCGCCAGUAUUCUGGCGGGCAUGCCUGUUCGAGCGUCAUUUCAACCCUCAAGCACAGCUUGGUGUUGGGACUCGCGUUAAUUCGCGUUCCUCAAAUUGAUUGGCGGUCACGUCGAGCUUCCAUAGCGUAGUAGUAAAACCCUCGUUACUGGUAAUCGUCGCGGCCACGCCGUUAAACCCCAACUUGUGAAUCAUGAGCAUCGGAUCAAGCAUGCAGAACGGCAAUGCUGCGAGUAAAUUCCACCAAUACGAUCAGUACGCGGAGGAGAG